rnacentral:rRNA from 1 species
UACGACUACAUAUCAGGCAUAUCAAUAAGCGGAGGAAAAGAAACUAACAAGGAUUCCCCUAGUAACGGCGAGUGAAGCGGGAAGAGCUCAAAUUUGAAAUCUUCAAGGUUCUACCUUGACGAAUUGUAGUUUAAAGAAGUGUUUUCGGUUAGAGGAGUAGUAAAAGUUCUUUGGAAUAGGACAUCAUAGAGGGUGGGAAUCCCGUAUUUGACUAUUCUUUCUAGCUUUGUGAUACACUUUCAAAGAGUCGGAUUGUUUGGGAAUGCAGUCCAAAAUGGGUGGUAAAUUUCAUCUAAAGCUAAAUAUUGGCGAGAGACCGAUAGCGAACAAGUACCGUGAGGGAAAGAUGAAAAGAACUUUGAAAAGAGAGUUAAACAGUACGUGAAAUUGUCAAAAGGGAAGCGUUUGACACCAGUGUUGUUUUUCCGAAAAUCAAUUAAAAAUAGAUUCAUGCUAAGUAGUAUUGACCUCAUCAGCUUGACUGCUUAGUUUUGGGUCAUUUUUUGAUGCACUUUUCGGUUAACAAGUCAACAUCAAUUUCUUUUGCCGUAAAAAGGUAGAAGGAAGGUGGCUUUAGUUUCGGCUGAAGUGUUUAUAGCCUUCUGCCCCUGCGGUCGGAGAGAUUGAGGUCUGCAGCGUAGACUCCUUCGGGGUUAGAUACGUCUGUGCUAAGCUAUAGCUUUUCAUAGACAACUUGUUGACUAUGUUUAGUCAUGUGGCUUACCCGCUGGCGCUAUUUUACCUACGCUUAGGAUGUUGACUGAUAUGUAGUCGUA